rnacentral:rRNA from 1 species
UACGUAGGGUGCAAGCGUUGUCCGGAAUCACUGGGCGUAAAGCGCACGUAGGCGGAUCUUUAAGUCAGGGGUGAAAUCCCAAGGCUCAACCUUGGAACUGCCUUUGAUACUGGGGAUCUCGAGUCCGGAAGAGGUUGGUGGAACUGCGAGUGUAGAGGUGAAAUUCGUAGAUAUUCGCAAGAACACCAGUGGCGAAGGCGGCCAACUGGUCCGGUACUGACGCUGAGGUGCGAAAGCGUGGGGAGCAAACAGG